rnacentral:rRNA from 1 species
AAGGUGGCCUGUGAGGGUUGCUGGAGGUAUCAGAAGUGCGAAUGCUGACAUAAGUAACGAUAAAGCGGGUGAAAAGCCCGCUCGCCGGAAGACCAAGGGUUCCUGUCCAACGUUAAUCGGGGCAGGGUGAGUCGACCCCUAAGGCGAGGCCGAAAGGCGUAGUCGAUGGGAAACGGGUUAAUAUUCCCGUACUUGGUGUUACUGCGAAGGGGGGACGGAGAAGGCUAUGUUGGCCGGGCGACGGUUGUCCCGGUUUAAGCGUGUAGGUGUGUGUUCCAGGUAAAUCCGGUUCACUUUAACACUGAGGCGUGACGACGAGGCACUACGGUGCUGAAGCAACAAAUGCCCUGCUUCCAGGAAAAGCCUCUAAGCAUCAGGUAACAUCAAAUCGUACCCCAAACCGACACAGGUGGUCAGGUAGAGAAUACCAAGGCGCUUGAGAGAACUCGGGUGAAGGAACUAGGCAAAAUGGUGCCGUAACUUCGGGAGAAGGCACGCUGACACGUAGGUGAAGUGAUUUACUCACGGAGCUGAAGUCAGUCGAAGAUACCAGCUGGCUGCAACUGUUUAUUAAAAACACAGCACUGUGCAAACACGAAAGUGGACGUAUACGGUGUGACGCCUGCCCGGUGCCGGAAGGUUAAUUGAUGGGGUCAGCGCAAGCGAAGCUCCUGAUCGAAGCCCCGGUAAACGGCGGCCGUAACUAUAACGGUCCUAAGGUAGCGAAAUUCCUUGUCGGGUAAGUUCCGACCUGCACGAAUGGCGUAAUGAUGGCCAGGCUGUCUCCACCCGAGACUCAGUGAAAUUGAACUCGCUGUGAAGAUGCAGUGUACCCGCGGCAAGACGGAAAGACCCCGUGAACCUUUACUAUAGCUUGACACUGAACAUUGAGCCUUGAUGUGUAGGAUAGGUGGGAGGCUUUGAAGUGUGGACGCCAGUCUGCAUGGAGCCGACCUUGAAAUACCACCCUUUAAUGUUUGAUGUUCUAACGUGGACCCGUGAUCCGGGUUGCGGACAGUGUCUGGUGGGUAGUUUGACUGGGGCGGUCUCCUCCUAAAGAGUAACGGAGGAGCACGAAGGUUGGCUAAUCCUGGUCGGACAUCAGGAGGUUAGUGCAAUGGCAUAAGCCAGCUUGACUGCGAGCGUGACGGCGCGAGCAGGUGCGAAAGCAGGUCAUAGUGAUCCGGUGGUUCUGAAUGGAAGGGCCAUCGCUCAACGGAUAAAAGGUACUCCGGGGAUAACAGGCUGAUACCGCCCAAGAGUUCAUAUCGACGGCGGUGUUUGGCACCUCGAUGUCGGCUCAUCACAUCCUGGGGCUGAAGUAGGUCCCAAGGGUAUGGCUGUUCGCCAUUUAAAGUGGUACGCGAGCUGGGUUUAGAACGUCGUGAGACAGUUCGGUCCCUAUCUGCCGUGGGCGCUGGAGAACUGAGGGGGGCUGCUCCUAGUACGAGAGGACCGGAGUGGACGCAUCACUGGUGUUCGGGUUGUCAUGCCAAUGGCACUGCCCGGUAGCUAAAUGCGGAAGAGAUAAGUGCUGAAAGCAUCUAAGCACGAAACUUGCCCCGAGAUGAGUUCU